GGAAAAAGUCGAAUAAUCUCUCGUAUAUCAUCGGGAAUAAGGCCCGAAAGUUUCUACCCGAAAACCUUAAAUUUUUGGACUACGAGUGAGCGAUAGUAUAGA
rnacentral:ncRNA from 1 species